GUUGGAAAUAAAGUUUGCUUCCUUUUCUCUACUAAGCUAAGCCUGGUUUUCUUUUUCUUUUCUUUCUUUUUUUUAAUUGCCGAGUGCAACUGCUGUUCCUUUGAAAGAUUGCAAAACAUUGGCAUACGAGCUGGUAAACUAGAUGCAAGAGACUGAGGAACAGAAAUUAAAAACCACCUUAAAUGAAAAUAGAUUCCCCACUUUCAAUACAUUAAAGAAAAGAAUGGCAGUUCUAAAAAAAAAUAUGUGGUUGUUGUUAAUGCACAUUCUUUACUUGUUCAGUGAAGAUUCCUGAAACUCAGAAUUCAGCUGUGGCUUAGAUUUGGGGAGAUUCUUCUAAUAGGGACAGAAAGGUGAUGCCUCCUGGACUCCGCUGAAGAACCUACUGCCCCAAAGAAUUGGAGGACAGCCGGGACUAUCGCUUUGCUUAGGAGAACAUAUCCAUUGGGAAAGAAGGCAGUGAGCCCCAGAAAACACAUUGGCAGGUAUAACAUUUUGAAGCAGGAAAAGAGGGGGUGGAUCGGAGUUCAAAUUCAAGAAGUUCACAUGAAGAAAGAAGGCUCCGGACUGGACAGAUGGACCCAGCAUUCUCACUCAUGGAAAAAAGAAUAAUAAAAAUCAUGCAAGUAUGAGAUCAAGAUGCAUGAUUUGAAUGGGGGAAAAAAUGCUAACCAACGUGUCACUGGAAAGUAAAGGAACAAUAAAAUAGCUCAAGGAGUCUGAUUUCUGUUUCUUGGUAAUGAUAUGUUAUAUGUCUUGGUUUUGUAUAAACCUCACCUUUCCUAGGAA